rnacentral:rRNA from 1 species
AUACGGAGGGUGCAAGCGUUAAUCGGAAUUACUGGGCGUAAAGCGUACGUAGGCGGUGAGUUAAGUUAGAUGUGAAAGCCCCGGGCUCAACCUGGGAACUGCAUUUAAAACUGGCUCACUAGAGUUGAGUAGAGGGGAGUGGAAUUUCAGGUGUAGCGGUGAAAUGCGUAGAGAUCUGAGGGAACACCAGUGGCGAAGGCGACUCCCUGGACUCGAACUGACGCUGAGGUACGAAAGCGUGGGUAGCAAACGGGAUUAGAUACCCCAGUAGUCC